UAGCCGGGCGGUACAGCCCGCCCAGUUCUGUAGUUCUCGCAGCUGUCCGCCGCCGGUCCCCGGGAUGACUUUGGUCGGCUUCAUCCCGAGCCGAGCAGUUGGGGAAACUGAGGCACGGGAGAGGCAGUUUACCAGACACGGCAUAGUGAGGACUCAAAUUCGUCUAUGAGGUCGCCCAGUUCGUGCUACUCUGUUCUGGGGAUGGAGAUGAGUUGAGGAUUUUCAAAGAUGAAUUAAUACGGCCCCUGGCGUGGAGGAAUUUAAAGGUCGAGGUGGGCGGGGAGAGGCGGGGUCAACUAUAAAUCCAACUCCAUAAACGUUCCAAUGGAGGCAGCAUGUGGCAGGGGAAGGAGCAUUCAUGGCCUUUUUUAGUGAACCUGACCCUGUUUCAGAUUCUUUUGUCUUU